rnacentral:lncRNA from 1 species
ACUUCAGAAAGUUUCCUUUUAUAAAGUCUCUGAUGGCAGGGAAGAUGUUUAACAGAGUUUCUAUUGGCUCCCAGAAGAUAGCAAUGUCAGGAGUCAGGUCUAUAUAAUCCCUUCCUGCUGUCGGAGCCCACUUUAAGGGCCUGGAGGAGACCUUACAUGGUUUUAGGGAGCUGAGGCUGUGAACUGAAGACAAGGGGAUAACAAUUGCCAUGAAUGGACACUGCUUUCUCCAGAGACUUGUCUUUCUCCUCUCCAUUAUCCUGGUGGAUGGUCAAGGGAGCAGACAGCUCCGCCUGGCGGACGGGGGCGGUGGCUGUGCCGGCAGAGU